AGUCCAUCGAUUUCAUUUCACUUUCCAAAACUUUCUCCUUGUACUCUUCAGCCAUGAGCCGACAACCGACACAUCCUCUCCUAGUCUCCUUCUCUUCAAUUUUUGUUUCACCUCAACUUGAGCUCAAAAAAGCUGCAAAAGAUUCUCAAAACUCAAGCAGGUAAAUGGGAUGAAUCUUCCAAGAAAUUUGUUUUGAACAGAGACCUUAACCUGCAGAAGAUUCAACAAUGACCUUCGAUUCCUCAAGCCUCAAGCAGAAGCCUUAUUGAUGUUGGUUGAAAUCCAGCUCUCUUUUCCUCCUCGUUUUGAGAGUUUGUCCAUGGAGUUCAUAAGAAAACUUGCUGCAAGAUUUGCGGCAAAUAUCCCAAUUGCACUUGCAGCUGCAGCAGCGCCAAUCAGGAAAAAUUGGGGAAGAAGCCAAAGUACUGACAUGUCCACCACUGCAUUUGAAGCAUCUGAAUAUCCUUCCCUGAUAGCCAGACUACGUCGUUUAGCUCACUGUUGCUGCCACUAUCAUGCCUAGAAAAGACAGGGCCAUUCCAAUUCCCAUUCUUUCCCUUUUCAGGAAAUGAACAGGCCUCCCCAAAAUUCUUGCUGCAACAGGCAGGAUUAUCUGAAGAUAAAUAGGUAUCCAUAGUACUGCACCGACAACGGCAAACAUACUACAAGAUAUCUCAUUGUUUUUAUGAUUGGGUUGUUUAAUGCCAGUUUUGAUGGCUUACCCUUCGAGCUCUAGAAAAAUUCUGAAACUGAAUUUCCUUUUCUCUUAAGUCAUGACUAGUAUUGAAGUAGGAUAUGUAAUCCUGCUUUGUAACAAUUGCGAAGGGCGAUGCAUUUGAUGCCCAAAGAAUUUCUUAAACCUAGGACGUCUUUGGAUUCAAUGCAAUGUUUCUUAGUAAGCUGUCA